GAUGAACGCUGGCGGCGUGCCUAAUACAUGCAAGUCGAGCGAAUGGAUUAAGAGCUUGCUCUUAUGAAGUUAGCGGCGGACGGGUGAGUAACACGUGGGUAACCUGCCCAUAAGACUGGGAUAACUCCGGGAAACCGGGGCUAAUACCGGAUAACAUUUUGAACCGCAUGGUUCGAAAUUGAAAGGCGGCUUCGGCUGUCACUUAUGGAUGGACCCGCGUCGCAUUAGCUAGUUGGUGAGGUAACGGCUCACCAAGGCAACGAUGCGUAGCCGGCCGGAGAGGGUGAUCGGCAACGCUGGGACUGAGACACGGCCCAGACUCAUACGGGAGGCAGCAGUAGGGAAUCUUCCGAAAUGGACGAAAGUCUGACGGAGCAACGCCGCGUGAGUGAUGAAGGCUUGCGGGUCGUAAAACUCUGUUGUUAGGGAAGAACAAGUGCUAGUUGAAUAAGCUGACACCUUGACGGUACCUAACCAGAAAGCCACGGCUAACUACGUGCCAGCAGCCGCCGUAA
rnacentral:rRNA from 1 species